UGCAGAUGGCAGUGGAAUUGGACUGUGAGGAAGAACGGGGACUAGUCCAGGAGUCUGGAGAGGAUUCAGAUGAGGGUUCUGCAUCUGAUACAGAGAUGGGGCCAGGGCCAUCUGGGAGUUGUGUGCUGACUCCGGAGCCUUCAGAGUCUGGCAGAAGUGAGGCAGACGAACAAGGGAAGCCUCUUGAUACCACUUCUUUCCU